GUUUAUUGGAGACUCUUCAAAUACUAUCGCAAAGACUUUACGUUGUUUGAAAUAAAGCUACGCUAAAGUCUGUUUAUUGGAGACUCUUCCAAACACUAUUCCAAGGACUAUACGUUGUUUGAAAUAAAGUUCAACGAUGUGGAUUUUUUAACUAUUCAAGUAUUUGCCAUUUUAUUGAAGGAAUAUCCUGAACAC